UGGGCAGGGCCCAGGCAUGAGAUCAGAGUCACAACAUGUAGGUGCUGGGCCAAGUGAUAUGUCACAAUGCCCACUGUAGACAGGUUCCAGGAAGAAAAGGAGCAUCACAUCAUCUAGGUGAUAAACCCUGAGAUAUCUCACAAUGACCCCUUUGUGCAGAGAUCACAAAGAAGAAUCAUAUAACCUGUGUGCUGGAUCCAGUGGUAUGAAAGUCAACACCUGUAUUUUGGGUCUAAGUACAUGAGACACAAUGGUGGACAAUCUAUACUGAGAGCCUCAAUUCUUCCUGUAGACAGUGUCUCCUCAGUGGAGUAAAAGCCUCACGGUGUGUUGAAUCUUGGUCUGAGAGUCGCCAACCCACUGGUGGACCGGAUCCACUUACAAGAGUCAAUGUUCAAACUUUCAACUGUCUCCAGCUGUGAGAUUCAGAACCUCAA
rnacentral:lncRNA from 10 species